UAAUCGCUGCGUUAUUGUUUGGUUGAGUACAUCCCUAACCCCAACACAAAUAACAUGUUAUCGGGAAGUCUUCCUCGCUGUUGGAAAGGAUUACAAGCACUGGAGGCACUGGGCUUGGAGAACAAUCAACUGGAGGGCCAUAUUCCGACAUCAAUGUGCUCUCUUCAACAGCUCUCAGUUUUGGUACUGAGAGGAAAUAAUUUCAGAGGAAUUCUUCCCAAAUGCUUGGCGAAUAUGUCCCUGGAUGUUCUCGAUGUGGGCCACAAUAAAAUUGCUGGUGCGAUACCAUCAUGGAUUGCUCAAAUUCCUUUCCUAAGUGUACUGAGUCUUGAAUCCAACGCCCUGAAUGGGGAAAUACCAAUUGGAAUUUGCCAGUUCUGCUGUCUCCAAAUUUUGAACCUAGCAGACAACGGCCUUUCUGGAACCAUUCCCCCCUGCUUAGACAACAUAACUGCUCUCACUAGCCCAAACUAUCACGGUAACUGGGAUUCUUAUUUUGGAACUGAGGUAAAUACGAAGUCAUUAACCCAGCUAUACACCAGCACAGCUCGAUAUCUGCAUUCGAUUGACCUUUCAAACAAUAAGUUUGUUGGAGAGCUUCCAAGAGGGCUGACAAGGCUCUACAAACUUCAGAAUCUCAAUUUGUCACGGAACAACUUCAGCGGGAGAAUACCUUCAGAGAUUGCCGAUUUAUGGAAUCUGGAGUCACUUGAUUUGUCGCUCAACCGAUUCUCAGCUUAGUACAUUCGGAAUUGAAUCAUUUGUUGGCAAUGAUGACCUCCGUGGACCUCCACUUUCGAAAAAUUGCAUAGGAGACGAUCACGGACAACCUGGUUUGCCUGAACAACAAUAUGAUAAUUCCAGCAAGGAAGAUGAGUUUGACAUUCGCUGGUUUUAUGCGGGCUUGGCACCAGGAUUCACCGCAGGAUUCUUGGGAUUUUGUGGCUCGUUAUUGUUCAAGCGCUCGUGGAGGCAAUCCUUUUUUCUGUGGUUGGACAGAAUCAUCGACCCCCUGCUAGUGAUGAUGGAGGCCAAUUUAGUUCGGUUGCAAAGAGCUUUUAAACAACACGACCAGAACACUAUUUGGUGAAAAUAAAAUGGCAAACUCCUGCAAUUAUAAGCGGAAAGGACGAGUUUCAUGGAAGUAACCAUGAUGUAUCUGUAAAGACAAGUGUUAUGGGUGUACUCGAUAUAUGUAAUGCAGAUGGACUCUUAUAAGUUUAGAAUGCUUUCAGUCAUUACUUCAUUUCAUCAUGAGCUUUUCGUUUGGCUUUUUGAGAUAGCUUUUCAUUUGAUCAAGUCAUUUCUGCAGAAAAUCUAGUAA